GAUGAACGCUGGCGGCGUGCCUAAUACAUGCAAGUCGAGCGAACAGACGAGGAGCUUGCUCCUCUGACGUUAGCGGCGGACGGGUGAGUAACAUGUGGAUAACCUACCUAUAAGACUGGGAUAACUUCGGGAAACCGGAGCUAAUACCGGAUAAUAUAUUGAACCGCAUGGUUCAAUAGUGAAAGACGGUUUUGCUUUCACUUAUAGAUGGAUCCGCGCCGCAUUAGCUAGUUGGUAAGGUAACGGCUUACCAAGGCAACGAUGCGUAGCCGACCUGAGAGGGUGAUCGGCCACACUGGAACUGAGACACGGUCCAGACUCCUACGGGAGGCAGCAGUAGGGAAUCUUCCGCAAUGGGCGAAAGCCUGACGGAGCAACGCCGCGUGAGUGAUGAAGGUCUUCGGAUCGUAAAACUCUGUUAUUAGGGAAGAACAAAUGUGUAAGUAACUAUGCACGUCUUGACGGUACCUAAUCAGAAAGCCACGGCUAACUACGUG
rnacentral:rRNA from 1 species